rnacentral:rRNA from 1 species
GUGGGGAAUAUUGGACAAUGGGCCACAAGCCUGAUCCAGCAAUUCUGUGUGCACGAUGAAGGUCUUCGGAUUGUAAAGUGCUUUCAGUUGGGAAGAAGAAAGUGACGGUACCAACAGAAGAAGCGACGGCUAAAUACGUGCCAGCAGCCGCGGUAAUACGUAUGUCGCAAGCGUUAUCCGGAUUUAUUGGGCGUAAAGCGCGUCUAGGCGGAAAAAUAAGUCUGAUGUUAAAAUGCGGGGCUCAACUCCGUAUUGCGUUGGAAACUGUUUUUCUAGAGUACUGGAGAGGUGGGCGGAACUACAAGUGUAGAGGUGAAAUUCGUAGAUAUUUGUAGGAAUGCCGAUGGAGAAGUCAGCUCACUGGACAGAUACUGACGCUAAAGCGCGAAAGCGUGGGGAGCAAACAGGAUUAGAAACCCUAGUAGUCC